ensembl:lncRNA
GUUCUUGUGAAUCAGUUUUGUAAAUCAAAGAUGGGCAAGUUUGCACUUUCAUCCCAUAUUCAUUGUAUUAUAACACAAUCUAAAGUAGAUGAGCACAGAGCCAUAACUAAUGAAAAUGUGCCGGUGUCCAAAUACUUUCUGUGUCAUCAGUCUAGUUAUCCAAGAUACUUGUUUUUUUUCAAUACAGUUGACCAAAGCUCUGCUUGGAUACAAGACAGAUGACUCAAUAAACAGCAUUGACAACAGUGAGGAUGAUUAUGUCCCAGGGCCAUCAGGAUCAUCAGAGGAAGACAAUUUCUAUGAAGAAAAUCUGACAGGAGAGAAAAUUUUGCCAAACAGCCAAUGACCAAGGAAAAGCUGGGACAAGAGAGAGGCUCACACGGUUAGAAUGUUUCCUGCUGCCUUCAGUCAGUGCAUUUUCACACUGUAGUGUCAACUUGUGGUACUGUGCUGGUCCAGAUCAAUCCUGUCUUCAUCAGUUAGUGGAUUUCCAACCAUGCCAGUACAGAACGGUUCAGUUUGGAUUGGAUACAAGUCAAGAUGUUAGAUCUGGAACUAGUGUGUCAGAACAGAUGAUAACACAGAAGGAUUACCACGCUUUACAUUGUUUUACCUGGAGGGAGGGAACUAGUGUGUCAGGAUAGAUGAUAACACAGAAGGAUUACCACGCUUUACAUUGUUUUACCUGGAGGGAGGGAACUAAUGUGUCAGGACAGAUGAUAACACAGAAGGAUUACCACGCUUUACAUUGAUUUACCUGGAGGGAGGGAACUAAUGUGUCAGGAUAGAUGAUAACAGAGAAGGAUUACCACGCUUUACAUUGUGUUUCUACAGGGAGGGAACUUGAUUUAAUACUUAAUGCUUUUAUUAGAAGGUUUACAUUCCAUACAGAUUGUUGGGCUUAGAUUCCAUACAGAUUGUUGGGCUUAGAUUCCAUACAGAUUGUUGGGCUUAGAUUCCAUACAGAUUGUUGGGCUUAGAUUCCAUACAGAUUGUUGGGCUUAGAUUCCAUACAGAUUGUUGGGCUUAGAUUCCAUACAGAUUGUUGGGCUUAGAUUCCAUACAGAUUGUUGGGCUUAGAUUACAUACAGAUUGUUGGGCUUAGAUUCCAUACAGAUUGUUGGGCUUAGAUUCCAUACAGAUUGUUGGGUUUAGAUUCCAUACAGAUUGUUGGGCUUAGAUUCCAUACAGAUUGAGUCUGCCUUAAUGUCAGCAUUGCACAUUCUUCUCUCACAUCCUUAUCUACCGUUGAAGUCGGAAGUUCACAUACACUUAGGUUGGAGUCAUUAAAACUAGUUGUUCAACCACUCCACAAAUUUCUUGUUAAUAAACUAUAGUUCUGGCAAGUCUUUUAGGAUAUCUACUUUGUGCAUGACACAAGUAAUUUUUCCAACAAUUGUUUACAGACAGAUUAUUUCACUUAUAAUUCACUGUAUCACAAUUCCAGUGGGUCAGAAGCUUACAUACACUAAGUUGACUGUGCCUUUAAACAGCUUGGAAAAUUCCAGAAAAUUAUGUCAUGGCUUUAGAAACUUCUGAUAGGCUAAUUGACAUCAUUUGAGUCAAUUGGAGGUACCACGUUCAUCUGUACAAACAAAGGUAA